rnacentral:rRNA from 1 species
AGCGAACGCUGGCGGCAGGCCUAACACAUGCAAGUCGAACGAACUCUUCGGAGUUAGUGGCGGACGGGUGAGUAACACGUGGGAACGUGCCUUUUGGUUCGGAAUAACUCAGGGAAACUUGUGCUAAUACCGAAUGUGCCCUCCGGGGGAAAGAUUUAUCGCCAUUAGAGCGGCCCGCGUCUGAUUAGCUAGUUGGUGAGGUAAUAGCUCACCAAGGCUACGAUCAGUAGCUGGUCUGAGAGGAUGAUCAGCCACAUUGGGACUGAGACACGGCCCAAACUCCUACGGGAGGCAGCAGUGGGGAAUCUUGCGCAAUGGGCGAAAGCCUGACGCAGCCAUGCCGCGUGAAUGAUGAAGGUCUUAGGAUUGUAAAAUUCUUUUACCAGGGACGAUAAUGACGGUACCUGGAGAAAAAGCCCCGGCUAACUUCGUGCCAGCAGCCGCGGUAACAC